GAUGUUAUCUAUUAAAAUAUAAAAUACUAUGUUACCGAGGUAGUAUGAUUAUAUGCAUCCUGAUACUAUAAAUGAGUUCUCGUUGUGUUGUGAUUAUGUAGUUUGUUACGAUCGUUCCUUGAUGUUUCAUGGAAUGGAUACAACACCUUGCUUUUAUUUUUCUUUCAUGAACAGAGUUCUUGGCGUGCUGAUGUAGAGGACAAAAGUGGUGGCCACGGGGAGGACGAGACGAAUGCGCUGUCCUGCUGGAGUUGUUCUCCUCAGAGAUGCGAUCUGAUUCUUCGACGCCAACCUCGGUCCACCAGAGUUGUGGCAAGGUGACGACGGUGUUGUAUCUGUGACUGGGAUGGGGAUGGGAAAGCACAGGGGAGGAGGAGGCGAUGAUGGGGAUGUGGCGAUGAUGGGGAUGUGGAGGCGGAUGAGGCAGUUGCAGAGGGUCGGACGAUGGUGAUGG
rnacentral:lncRNA from 1 species